CUCUCACUGAAGGCUUAGACUCUGGAAACUAGAAAGUCCCUGGCUCCCUACACUGCGAGUACUGCCAGAGAGUCUCACCAUGGGGGUGCACCGUUCAGUUGCCCUAGAGGAAGCUCCUGAAUCUAGCACUUUGGAGGUAGCCAACAUCACAAAUCAACAUCUCACUUCUGACCAGGGGAGGAGAUGAAGA